GCUCAAGUCAUUUUUAGGACAGUGAAAUUUUAAAUUUAAAUUUCAAAUAAAGUAAAUUAUUUAUAAAAAAAAUUCAAAACAUACAUAAAUUAUUGAAGAGCCCAAAUUUCCAACAAUUGCAAGUGAUACUGACAAGGGUUCUAGCGAACAUUUAUUUGAACAUCCUUGAUGGAUAGAUCAGAGCAUUCCCAACCAAUAACAGAUUCUUAUACAUGAAAGAAAUUGAUUGGAGUCAAUUUUUGCCUAAAUGAGAGGCCAUCUUUGGUUGUGCUUCCUUUCUCUCUGUUUUGGUCCUUCUCUAACACUUCUCUCUUCUGAUCCUUCUCCAUCACUUCACAUUUUAGUAGAGAAGAUUGAUAACCACUGCUACAUUAAACCAGAUGCCACUUGCAUACUACUCAUCACCUCAACUUUUACACUGUUAAGUAGGACUGGACUUUUUUCCAACCCAAUCCCACAAUCAUAACCUUUACACUCCAAAUCCUAAUCCUAGACAGGUGGAUAUAAAUGGGAAAAUCCCUCAUAUAAACAUUAGUGUAAUAAUUACAGCAAAUAUCAUUCAUAGAAUUAGAUCAUCAAAAUAUAUUUUGGGAUUCAGGUUGUGUAACGCUUAAAAAUAUGUUUAUUUUUAUUAAAUGAAUGAAUAUUUAAAAAUAAAAAUAAUUUGUGAUGGUCACUUUUGGCUAGUCAAGUGACUCCAUACUGCUAUAAGAAUUUUCCGACUCUGAAUCCUAAUUCUGAUCCGUAUCCGAUGACCCCCACCCACCACCUAGAAUGACGAUAUUGUAAGAAAUAACCCCCCUCCUCUGGCGCCGCCCUUCUUCACUUCCAUCGCCGUCACCGUCACUACCGCCAUCUUCCACCGGGAUAAUGAAACGACAAAGCGGACACGACCCAUGCAACCCAAGCCACUUCUCAAUACAACCGGAGUGAAAACCAUGCUUACACGGAAUCUCUCGCAUCUCGCUGCUAACACGCAUUUCGUCUAAACAAAUAGCACAGUCCUUGACGCAAUCAUCAGUUACUGUUAUUCUGGGCAUGGCA
rnacentral:misc_RNA from 1 species